GUUAGUUAAAUAACUUGUAUUAUUGUGAAACUGGUUGGAGGAGUAUAUGGUUGUUAUGAAAGCAUGACUUAUUAUUAAGAGUUUAAACUUGUAUAUGGUAUAUAGUUAUUUGUUAUCAUGCAUUGGAUAUGUUUGGAGUAUACUAGAGUUUUGGUUCUUUUUUAUGUUCAAAUUAUAAAAAUGUUUUUUUUUUUUUUAUUUUGGAAUUCUAGUGUCCAAGACAACCCAACGACAAUGAUUGUGGAUAUUAUGUGUGUCAAUAUAUGAAGGAAAUUAUUACAUACUGUGAAGGAGGAACAAUUUCAACUAUUGUAAGUUAACA
rnacentral:lncRNA from 1 species